UACGGAGGGUGCAAGCGUUAUCCGGAUUCACUGGGUUUAAAGGGUGCGUAGGUGGGCAGGUAAGUCAGUGGUGAAAUCUCCGGGCUUAACCCGGAAACUGCCAUUGAUACUAUCUGUCUUGAAUACCGUGGAGGUGAGCGGAAUAUGUCAUGUAGCGGUGAAAUGCUUAGAUAUGACGUAGAACACCAAUUGCGAAGGCAGCUCACUACGCGAAUAUUGACACUGAGGCACGAAAGCGUGGGGAUCAAACAGG
rnacentral:rRNA from 1 species